UUGAACGCUGGCGGCAGGCCUAACACAUGCAAGUCGAGCGGUAGCACAGAGAGCUUGCUCUCGGGUGACGAGCGGCGGACGGGUGAGUAAUGUCUGGGAAACUGCCUGAUGGAGGGGGAUAACUACUGGAAACGGUAGCUAAUACCGCAUAACGUCGCAAGACCAAAGUGGGGGACCUUCGGGCCUCAUGCCAUCAGAUGUGCCCAGAUGGGAUUAGCUAGUAGGUGGGGUAACGGCUCACCUAGGCGACGAUCCCUAGCUGGUCUGAGAGGAUGACCAGCCACACUGGAACUGAGACACGGUCCAGACUCCUACGGGAGGCAGCAGUGGGGAAUAUUGCACAAUGGGCGCAAGCCUGAUGCAGCCAUGCCGCGUGUGUGAAGAAGGCCUUCGGGUUGUAAAGCACUUUCAGCGGGGAGGAAGGCGAUAAGGUUAAUAACCUUGUCGAUUGACGUUACCCGCAGAAGAAGCACCGGCUAACUCCGUGCCAGCAGCCGCGGUAAUACGGAGGGUGCAAGCGUUAAUCGGAAUUACUGGGCGUAAAGCGCACGCAGGCGGUCUGUCAAGUCGGAUGUGAAAUCCCCGGGCUCAACCUGGGAACUGCAUUCGAAACUGGCAGGCUAGAGUCUUGUAGAGGGGGGUAGAAUUCCAGGUGUAGCGGUGAAAUGCGUAGAGAUCUGGAGGAAUACCGGUGGCGAAGGCGGCCCCCUGGACAAAGACUGACGCUCAGGUGCGAAAGCGUGGGGAGCAAACAGGAUUAGAUACCCUGGUAGUCCACGCCGUAAACGAUGUCGAUUUGGAGGUUGUGCCCUUGAGGCGUGGCUUCCGGAGCUAACGCGUUAAAUCGACCGCCUGGGGAGUACGGCCGCAAGGUUAAAACUCAAAUGAAUUGACGGGGGCCCGCACAAGCGGUGGAGCAUGUGGUUUAAUUCGAUGCAACGCGAAGAACCUUACCUGGUCUUGACAUCCACAGAACUUUCCAGAGAUGGAUUGGUGCCUUCGGGAACUGUGAGACAGGUGCUGCAUGGCUGUCGUCAGCUCGUGUUGUGAAAUGUUGGGUUAAGUCCCGCAACGAGCGCAACCCUUAUCCUUUGUUGCCAGCGGUUAGGCCGGGAACUCAAAGGAGACUGCCAGUGAUAAACUAGAGGAAGGUGGGGAUGACGUCAAGUCAUCAUGGCCCUUACGACCAGGGCUACACACGUGCUACAAUGGCAUAUACAAAGAGAAGCGACCUCGCGAGAGCAAGCGGACCUCAUAAAGUAUGUCGUAGUCCGGAUUGGAGUCUGCAACUCGACUCCAUGAAGUCGGAAUCGCUAGUAAUCUUAGAUCAGAAUGCUACGGUGAAUACGUUCCCGGGCCUUGUACACACCGCCCGUCACACCAUGGGAGUGGGUUGCAAAAGAAGUAGGUAGCUUAACCUUCGGGAGGGCGCUUACCACUUUGUGAUUCAUGACUGGGGUG
rnacentral:rRNA from 1 species